CCCAAAUACCAAUUGCACCAAUAAUUGACUUAUUGGAAAAACAACAAAACACUAUUGAAUGUCAUGUGGAUUAAUUACCCAUCAUUCUCUUAAAUUCCUCCACUAAAGCAUUUAUGACAAUAAAUUACUACAUUUCACAUGACAACAGAGUUAAUGAAUUAUAGUUUGUUAUUUGAACGCUGCUCUGCACAGAGGAUGCUUACAUCACC